rnacentral:rRNA from 1 species
CGCGUAGGCGGUAAUGAAAGUCAGAUGUGAAAUACUUCGGCUCAACUGAAGAACUGCAUCUGAAACUUCAUAACUAGAGUACGGAAGAGGGAAAUGGAAUUCCCGGUGUAGAGGUGAAAUUCGUAGAUAUCGGGAGGAACACCGGUGGCGAAGGCGUCCAUCUGGCCCAAUACUGACGCUGAGGCGCGAAAGCUAGGGGAGCAAACG